GAUGAACGUUGUCGGCGUGCCUAAUACAUGCAAGUCGAGCGAACAGACGAGGAGCUUGCUCCUCUGACGUUAGCGGCGGACGGGUGAGUAACACGUGGAUAACCUACCUGUAAGACUGGGAUAACUUCGGGAAACCGGAGCUAAUACCGGAUAAUAUAUUGAACCGCAUGGUUCAAUAGUGAAAGACGGUUUUGCUGUCACUUAUAGAUGGAUCCGCGCCGCAUUAGCUAGUUGGUAAGGUAACGGCUUACCAAGGCGACGAUGCGUAGCCGACCUGAGAGGGUGAUCGGCCACACUGGAACUGAGACACGGUCCAGACUCCUACGGGAGGCAGCAGUAGGGAAUCUUCCGCAAUGGGCGAAAGCCUGACGGAGCAACGCCGCGUGAGUGAUGAAGGUCUUCGGAUCGUAAAACUCUGUUAUUAGGGAAGAACAAAUGUGUAAGUAACUAUGCACGUCUUGACGGUACCUAAUCAGAAAGCCACGGCUAACUACGUG
rnacentral:rRNA from 1 species